rnacentral:rRNA from 1 species
CGACGCCGCGUGGGGGAUGACGGUCUUCGGAUUGUAAACCCCUUUUGCGCGGGACGAGGAAGGACGGUACCGCGUGAAGAAGCCCCGGCUAACUACGUGC